GGAACAUUUGUUGGUCCUGUUCAUCAUUUACUCUUCUGCCAUAAACCUACGUUAGUCAUAUGUGCAGCAUGCUUCUAAACAAUGUCUUUUUUGUUUACCAUUGCAUAAAGUUUUCAUUUUCAUUAAGUAAAGGGAUCUUCAAUCAUUUUGCCUUAAUAUUUGUAUUCAAAUUGAAGCACAUGAUCAUCUGAUAGCAGUGAGAUGCUUAUAUCCUCCCAUUCUUUUGUUGCAUGCUGAUAGUCAGAUUCUCAAAUUGUGCUUAUUUUUAUAUUGUUCUUUCCAAAGCUGUUGAUGAUCUCCUUUUCUGGUUUAUCUCGUAGAAAAUCUCCUUGAAAGGUUUUGGAACUAUAUGUUAAUUUCUAGAUAUUUGCUGUGGGCAUUGUAUUUCCGAUGAAG
rnacentral:misc_RNA from 1 species